GACGAACGCUGGCGGCGUGCUUAACACAUGCAAGUCGAACGGAAAGGCCCUGCGUUUGUGGGGUGCUCGAGUGGCGAACGGGGGAGUAACACGUGAGUAACCUGCCCUUGACUUUGGGAUAACUUCAGGAAACUGGGGCUAAUACCGGAGAGGAGAUCCUGCUGCAUGGUGGGGGUUGGAAAGUUCCGGCGGUGGGGGAUGGACUCGCGGCUUAUGAGCUGGUUGGUGGAGUAGUGGCUGACCAAGGCUUAGACGGGUAGGCGGCCUGAGAGGGUGGCCGGGGACAUGGGGACUGAGAGAGGGACCAGACGCGUACGGGAGGCAGCAGUGGAAAACAUGACGCAGCGGGCGGGAGUCUGAUGCGGAGACCUCGCGUGCGGAAUACCCUCUUUCUAGGUGAAAACAGAUUUGGCAUGAGACGAAGAGUGCGUGACGGUAACUGGUAAAGAAGCACCGGCUAACUACGUG
rnacentral:rRNA from 1 species